AUACGGAGGAUCCGAGCGUUAUCCGGAUUUAUUGGGUUUAAAGGGUGCGCAGGCGGCCAUUUAAGUCAGCGGUUAAAUCGUGGGGCUCAACCCCAUUCUGCCGUUGAUACUGGGUGGCUUGAUUGCGGUCGAGGUUGGCGGAAUUCGUUGUGUAGCGGUGAAAUGCAUAGAUAUGACGAAGAACACCGAUUGCGUAGGCAGCUGACCAGACCGCAAAUGACGCUCAUGCACGAAAGUGCGGGGAUCGAACAGGAUUAGAUACCCUGGUAGUCCGCACAGUAAACGAUGAAUACUCGCUGUUUGCGAUAUAAUGUCGGAGGCAAAGCGAAAGCGAUAAGUAUUCCACCUGGGGAGUACGCCGGCAACGGUGAAACUCAAAUGAAUUGGCGGGG
rnacentral:rRNA from 1 species